AUGACGCUCAAUGUUUGCUCACGAUUUGCUGCACCGAACGCAUUUUGCCUAAAAAUAACAGGAUGGUGGGUCAUAGAAAUUGGAAGCCACUGGGAAGUGCGUAACAACUCAUCUGCCGAAUAAACUAGCUCUGAAAAUGAAUGGCGCUUAAGCGAGAGGUUCUAU
rfam:Gongylonema pulchrum genome assembly, scaffold: GPTH_scaffold0002008